rnacentral:rRNA from 1 species
UACGUAGGGUGCGAGCGUUGUCCGGAAUUAUUGGGCGUAAAGAGCUCGUAGGCGGUUUGUCGCGUCGACUGUGAAAACCUGGGGCUUAACUCUGGGCCUGCAGUCGAUACGGGCAGACUUGAGUUCGGUAGGGGAGACUGGAAUUCCUGGUGUAGCGGUGAAAUGCGCAGAUAUCAGGAGGAACACCGGUGGCGAAGGCGGGUCUCUGGGCCGAUACUGACGCUGAGGAG